CCUACGGGUGGCAGCAGUGAGGAAUAUUGGUCAAUGGGCGUAAGCCUGAACCAGCCAAGUCGCGUGAGGGAUGAAGGUUCUAUGGGUCGUAAACCUCUUUUAUAAGGGAAUAAAGAGUGGGACGUGUCCUAUUUUGGAUGUACCUUAUGAAUAAGGAUCGGCUAACUCCGUGCGAGCAGCCGCGGUAAUACGGAGGAUCCGAUCGUUAUCCGGAUUUAUUGGGUUUAAAGGGUGCGUAGGCGGCCUUUUAAGUCAGCGGUGAAAGUCUGUGGCUCAACCAUAGAAUUGCCGGUGAAACUGGGGGGCUUGAGUAUGUUUGAGGAAGGCGGAAUGCUUGGUGUAGCGGUGAAAUGCUUAGAUUUCUCGCAGAACCCCGAUUGCGAAGGCAGCCUGCCAAGCCAUGACUGACUCUGAUGCACGAAAGCGUGGGGAUCAAACAGGAUUAGAUACCCUUGUAGUC
rnacentral:rRNA from 1 species